UGGGGAAUAUUGCACAAUGGGGGAAACCCUGAUGCAGCGACGCCGCGUGAGCGAAGAAGUAUCUCGGUAUGUAAAGCUCUAUCAGCAGGGAAGAAAAUGACGGUACCUGACUAAGAAGCCCCGGCUAACUACGUGCCAGCAGCCGCGGUAAUACGUAUGGUGCAAGCGUUAUCCGGAUUUACUGGGUGUAAAGGGAGCGCAGGCGGUACGGCAAGUCUGAUGUGAAAGCCCGGGGCUCAACCCCGGUACUGCAUUGGAAACUGUCGGACUAGAGUGUCGGAGGGUAAGUGGAAUUCUAGUGUAGCGGUGAAAUGCGUAGAUAUUAGGAGGAACACCAGUGGCGAAGGCGGCUUACUAGACGAUUACUGACGCUGAGGCUCGAAAAGCGUGGGGAGCAAAACAAGGAUUAGAUACC
rnacentral:rRNA from 1 species